rnacentral:lncRNA from 1 species
AGAACGGUCGCCGCGUCGCCUCAGCACGGACCUCCAGGGAGCUCCUCAGCAAGAUCCUGCCAGGGCGCCCCUCAGCGCGAUUCUGCCGGGGUGCCUCUCAGCGUGGUCCUCCCCGGGGCUCCUCAGCACGAUUCUCCCGGUGCGCCCCUCAGCGCGGUCCUCCUCGGUGCGUCAGUCAUCGUGGUUCUCCCCGGCGCGCCCCUCGGCGCGGUUCUCCUCGGGGCUCCUCAGCGCGGCGCUCUUCUGGGGGCUCCUCGGCGCAGUUCUCCCCGGGGACUCCUCGGCGCCGUUCUCCUCGGGGCACCCGGGGCUUUUCGGCGCGGUUCUCCCCGGGGGUUCUUCGGCGCGGUUGUCCCCGGGGGUUCUUCGGCGCGGUUCUCUCCGGGGGCCUCUCGCCGCGGUUCUGUUCUCCCCGGGGGCUCCUCAGCAUGGUUCUCCUCCGCGCGGUCCUCCCUGGGCCUCCUCAGCGCGGCACUCUCCUGGGGGCUCCUCAGCGCGGCACUCUCCCCGGGGGCUCCUCAGCGCGGCACUCUCCCGGCGGCUCCUCAGUGCGGUUCUCCCAGACUCUCCUCAGCGCGGCCCUCCCCAUCUCUCUGGGAGGGUUUGAACACGGUCAGCACGGACCUGGGCGGACGGCGCGGGACGGGUGAUCACUGGCGUUGCUGAGCACUAUUCACAACAGCAAAGAUAUGGACUCAGGAACCUAAGUGUACAUCAGUGGAUAAAUGGAAAAAGAAAAUGAGCAUCAGGACACUCAGCCUUGGCCACCAAGGACCUUUGUAAUGUUUGCCACUGCUGACCUCAGCUGAUGGAGCUGCAAGAAGAGUAUUCCAUUAUAUCCUCAUCUGGGCUACAGCUGCUGCACCCUACCUACUUAACACUCCAUCAAGUGAGCAGAUUUCAAUUCAUUGUAACAAGAAACAGAAAAACCAAGGAAACAUAGCACCCACCUGAGAAAUACAAUAAUUUUCAGGGACUGACUCCCAAGAAAUUGGGAUACAUUAAUUGCCUUACAGAAAAUUAAAAACGACUGAUUUAAGGAAGUUCAGUGUGCUACCAGAGAACAGAGAGACAACCUAAUGAAAUCAUUAAUACACAAAAGGAGACAUUCAAUAAAGAAAUAGAAAUCCUAAAAAAAAAACAAACAUUUUGGAGGUGAAGAAUAUAGUGCAUGAAAUGAAAAGUGAAAUAGAAAGCAUCAGCAGCAGACUUGAUCAAAUAGAAGGAGGAAUUCAUCAACUGGAGGAUAAAUUAUUUGAAAAUAACCAGUAGAGGAGAAAAAUAAAGAAUGAAAAGGUAACAAGGGAAGUUUACAGGAUUUAUGGGACACCAUCAGGAGAGUUAAUGUUCACACAGGAUUUAUAGAAGGAAAGUAGAGAGGUAAAGGGUAGAAAGUUAAUUCAGAGAAAUAAUGGCUGAAAACUUCCCAUAUCUGGGGCUCUUCCCAGAUUGAUGGACAUCUAGGUACAUGAAGCUCAAAGAAUUACAAUUAGUUUCCAUCUAAAAGAGGUUUCACCUAGAUAUAUUGCCAUCAAAAUGUAAAAAAUGGAAGACAAGAUAAUUUUGAAAGCGGCAAGAUAAAUAAAGUUCUUACAUCUGCAGGAACCUCCAUAAGGCUAUCAGUGGAUUUCUGAGCAAAAACUUUCCAGGCCAGGAAACAAUAGGAUUAUAUAUUCAAAGUUCUGAAAGAUAAAAAACUGCCAUCUAAGAAUACUUUACACAGCAAAGCUGUCCUUCAGAUAUGAAACAGAUACAAGACUUCCUCAGGUAAACAAAAGUUGAAGGAGUUUAUCAGCAACUACUCUUGCCUUACAAGAUAUGCCAGAGGGAGUUAUUCAGGCUUAAAUGGAAGGAUGAUAAUUAGUAACAUGAAAACAUAUGAAAGUACAAAAUUCACUGAUAAAUAAAUAUACGGGCAACUUAA